rnacentral:rRNA from 1 species
AGGAUAAGGUCUUCGGAUUGUAAACUCCUGUCAUGCGAGAGCAAGAUUGGUCAUUUAAUAGGUGAUUAAUUUGAUAGUAUCGCAAGAGGAAGAGACGGCUAACUCUGUGCCAGCAGCCGCGGUAAUACAGAGGUCUCAAGCGUUGUUCGGAAUCACUGGGCGUAAAGGGUGCGUAGGUGGCGUGGUAAGUCAGAUGUGAAAGCCCAGGGCUCAACCCUGGAAUUGCAUCCGAUACUGCCGUGCUAGAGAACUGAAGGGGAGUCUGGAAUUCUCGGUGUAGCAGUGAAAUGCGUAGAUAUCGAGAGGAACACCAAUGGCGAAGGCAAGACUCUGGGCAGUUUCUGACACUGAGGCACGAAGGCCAGGGUAGCGAACGGGAUUAGAUACCCCGGUAGUCCUGGCAGUAAACGGUGCACGUUUGGUGUGGGAGGAUUCGACCCCUUCCGUGCCGGAGCUAACGCGUUAAGCGUGCCGCCUGGGAAGUACGGGUCGCAAGAUUAAAACUC